CGUGAUCCUUUUUGGUCUAAUAUGUUAAUGGUUAUAAGUAAGAGUGUUUUGAUUUUUUGGGCAUGUAAUUCCACAUUAACUGGUAUCCAGUAAGUGUUAUGCCUAUAUUUGAUUCUUCUUAUUCAUUUAUGUCUUAAUAUGAUAUAUCAAUAUGGAUCUUGCAGAUUUCAUUGAUUUUGGGUAUUUGGACUAAUCUGACAUAGCUCAUUAUAUUUUGUUCUUUUGGGCAUGUAGCUGGUGGAUGACUGAAAUUGAGGACCUGGUUUUUUUAGUAAUCACCGUGAGAGAGAAAAGGACAUUAAAAGUCUCUUUUGUGGAUGUUUGAGGGUGGCUUUGGCUCUCUCUCUUUUGCUUCAUUUCUUCACUCUUGCCUCUGAAUCAAAACAAAUAAACCCUCCCUUCAACUGUCUCCAUUGCGACACUCUUCAGGGAAGGUUUUGAUGGAGUAUGGGAGUGGGAUUUGCCCAUUACAAACCUGCCUUGUAUUGAGCAGCGAGCAGACUGUUUGAACUAGUCUAAAAAGGUUAAGAAAAGAUGUGUUGGCCAAGGAUGAAGCAGAAAGUCAAAAACCUCUUUGGCUAUUAAUGGAGCUGGUGGAGGAUUUGGAAAUAAGCUACUGUAGGAUGUGAGUCUGUAUAUCUCAAAAAUCAAGGUGAAGGAAGUGCUGGAGUGUUAAUAAUGUUUGAUCAGCCAGUGGUAUAUGAAUGCUUUUGUUCAUCAUCCCUUGGUGAUUCUCCUAACAGCUCUGGAGGCUUUUAGCUAUAUGAUGGCAUGUGAAAUGACAAUAUCAGUUGGUGCAUCUAGUGCACUUUUUGUACCAUUGGAAGCCAUGGUUUCUAAGCUUUUCACUAAUUGGACAAUCUAUGCAAAGAAGAUAGCAUUUUUGUUUUGCUCUUUAUUGCCUAGUAACAGUGACAGUCCGAGACUCAAAGCCAAGGUUUUAUCAGAUUAACCUUCAUGGGCAAAACAAUUUAUGCUAAUUGGAUGAUGUCGUGUACCACAUUGAAAACGCUUCAACUUAUUAUGUGCAAAAAUUUAGAGCAUUUGCCUUCUUUGGGGCAGUUGCCAUUCCUUGAAGUAUUAAGCAUAUCGCUCCUUGAUAAUUUGAAAAGGGUGGGAGAUGAAUUUCUGGGAAUAGAAGAUUCCAAAAACAAGACUAUGACAUCAUAUUCCCAAACCUGAAAUCUCUCCAAUUUGUGUAUUUGAGAAACUGGGAAGAAUGGAUUGGGAUGGGAGGAACGGGAGAAGAAGAAGAAGAAAAUGAUAAUGGUAUUGUUACAACUCCGAUAAUAAUAAAAAUAAUGCCACGUCUUCAGUCCUUGAAAACUUUUUACUGCUACAAUCUAAAGCUUCUGCCAGGCUACUUGUGUACUAUUCCAUUAUUGAAGGAAUUGGAGAUUUUUGGAUCCCUACUUCUUGAAGAAAGUUACAAAACAGGGACUGGAGAGAACUGGCCCAGGAUUUCUCACAUCCCAAACAUCAUAUUGGGUUGGGUGUAUGUGCAAAUAGACGGUGAACCCCAGAAUUGAUUUAGACAGUCAUUCAGAGACUGAUGAUAGUCAACACAAUGAAUUUGGACCAGAAAUCAAUGACAAAGAUGAUGUAGAAGAAGUUAAUGACAAAGAUGAUGUGGUUGAGGUGGACAAGAAUCAUGAGGAAGUUGGGGCUGACUCAGCUGAGUGUGUGGUGGAUGAACAAGUGGAAGUAGAGAAUGAUGAUGGAGAUCUGUGAAAG